GAUAUAUCCAAGUAAAGGAUAUGGGGAGAAAAUGGACCUGAUGAUCUACAACAGUAAUAAAUUCAAGGAAGUUCUUUAUGAGACUGAAUAAAACCGUAUAUUAUAUAAAGUAAUGGAUAAUAGUUUACUCUUAUAAAAGUGUAUUUGAUAAAUAUCAAGAGGAGAAUAUAACCUUUUGUAAUAAUUUUGGUAUUUUACCAUUACACUUAUUUACUUACAUAAAAGAAACAUUGAUUUUUAAAGAAAAUAAGGAAAUGGAGAAGAAUUCUUCAACUGUUUGUAGAACAUGCCUUACUGAAAGGGGACAAUUCAUUUCAAUUUUCACUGAAUACAAAGAUGAAUAUAUAGAUUCCCAUUUUGCAGAAAUGUUAAUGUCUUACACAUCAUUAAAAAUAAGCAAGGGAGAUGAUCUGCCAGAUAAUAUUUGCGAAAAUUGUGCUAAUCAAGUAACAAAUUUUUAUCUUUUUAAAAGAAAAUGUGAAGAAUCUGACCGCUUUCUUCAUGCAAAUGCUAAAUCUGUGAUUGCAUGGAAUGGUAUGAAUGAUACUAUAAAAUUAGAAUAUAGAGAAGAAAAUGAGGUGGAAGACUUAAAGAAUAAUACUUUUCCUUUGGAUAAUAACAAACAAUUUGAAACUUCAUUUGUGCUCAAGAAAACAUUUGCAGAAUCUAACACAAAAAAUCUAAUUGAAAGUAAAAAUAUAAUUAAAAAAAUUAAAAUGAGGAAAGAAGUAUCAAAAGAGCAGAAGAAAACAGUUAUAAACUCCAAACAAAGAACUUUUGGUGAAAUUAAAACUUGCUCUAAUGAAUCAUUAAAAGUACUUAAUAAAUUUUCAUGUGAUACUUGUCAGAAAGAGUUUCGAAGUUAUGGGCUUUUGGUCAAGCAUAAAAAAUUACAUAGGCAAAGGUGGGAAUGUAAAAUUUGCAGAAUAAGGUUUGUUCGUAACAGCAUGCUAAAAAAACAUGAAGCUUCUCAUGCUGAAAUAGACAACAGUAAAGCAAGUACGAUUGAAGAAAACAAUUGUUUGAUUUGCAACAAAGUUUUCAAUGAAAAAGGAACAUACGAUGUACAUGUGACAACUCAUUUGGAAUUAAAAGAAUUUGAAUGCCGAAUAUGCCAAAAACAAUUAACAGAUCUGACUACUUUCAGUCAACAUGCAUCUUUUCAUUCUAGUCAAAAAGUACAUGUGUGUCAUAUAUGUAAGAAGAAAUUUGUAAAAAUUGAUCGUUUUAAAAAUCAUAUGAGUAUACAUUCCAAAAACAAACGACAUUUUUGCAAAAUAUGUUCUAAAGGUUUUAAUAAGCCAUCAAAUUUGGAAGAUCACAUUCGAAUUCAUAAUGGUGAGAAACCAUAUAAAUGUAAUAUUUGUGGAAGAGGUUUCAGUCAAAUGGGGAAUUUAAAACAACAUACAAACAGGCAUACUGGUAUUAAAGAUCAUCUGUGUAGUAUAUGUGAUAAAGGGUUUGCAAGUAAAAAAGAACUGAGCACUCAUAUCCAGAAACAUUCAGGUAAUUUAUUUAUUUAUUUAUUUCUAGAUCUGUAGUCAAUAUGUAUGCCACAAUUGAUUAUCCCACCAACUACUAAUACUAUUGACUUGAAAUGUAUAUACUUCUAAAAUGGGUGCAUAAAUUAAAAACUUGGAUACCAGGGAUGAGUGUGGAGUUUCUUUUCUUCGAAUUUUGUGGGAUAAAAAUCUAAACUAAUUCAUGUAGAUUAUUAUUCGAAAAUGCAAAACAAUGUCCCUGACGUUUUCGAAAACGUUUUAUUAAUAAAUUAUUUUGUAAGGAAUUUGUACUUGUCUAGAAAAUUUUUAGCUUCUUGUUAACAUAGUAUACAAUCUGAAUAUACAAAUUAUUAAUUGUUUAAUAUAAA
rnacentral:misc_RNA from 1 species